rnacentral:rRNA from 1 species
AUUGAACGCUGGCGGCAUGCCUUACACAUGCAAGUCGAACGGUAACGCGGGGCAACCUGGCGACGAGUGGCGAACGGGUGAGUAACGCAUCGGAACGUGCCCAGUAGUGGGGGAUAGCCCGGCGAAAGCCGGAUUAAUACCGCAUACGACCUACGGGUGAAAGAGGGGGAUCGCAAGACCUCUCGCUAUUGGAGCGGCCGAUGUCAGAUUAGGUAGUUGGUGGGGUAAAAGCCUACCAAGCCUACGAUCUGUAGCUGGUCUGAGAGGACGACCAGCCACACUGGGACUGAGACACGGCCCAGACUCCUACGGGAGGCAGCAGUGGGGAAUUUUGGACAAUGGGCGCAAGCCUGAUCCAGCCAUGCCGCGUGCGGGAAGAAGGCCUUCGGGUUGUAAACCGCUUUUGUCAGGGAAGGAACGCUCUGGACUAAUACUCUGGGGUAAUGACGGUACCUGAAGAAUAAGCACCGGCUAACUACGUGCCAGCCGCCGCUGUAA